GAUGAACGCUGGCGGCGUGCUUAACACAUGCAAGUCGAACGGAAAGGCUCCUGCUUGCAGGGGUACUCGAGUGGCGAACGGGCGAGUAACACGUGGGUGAUCUGCCCUGCACUUCGGGAUAAGCCUGGGAAACUGGGUCUAAUACCGGAUAGGACCACAUUUUGGAUGGUGUGGUGGAAAGUUUUUCGGUGUGGGAUGAGCUCGCGGCCUAUCAGCUUGUUGGUGGGGUAAUGGCCUACCAAGGCGUCGACGGGUAGCCGGCCUGAGAGGGUGUACGGCCACAUUGGGACUGAGAUACGGCCCAGACUCCUACGGGAGGCAGCAGUGGGGAAUAUUGCACAAUGGGGGCAAGCCUGAUGAAGCGACGCCGCGUGGGGGAUGAAGGCCUUCGGGUUGUAAACGCCUUUCGCUAGGGACGAAGCGCAAGUGACGGUACCUGGAGAAGAAGCACCGGCUAACUACGUG
rnacentral:rRNA from 1 species